rnacentral:rRNA from 1 species
UAGCCUUGACAUUGAUUGAACACACUAGAGAUAGAGUGGUGCCCUUCGGGGAACAUGAAAACAGGUGCUGCACGGCUGUCGUCAGCUCGUGUCGUGAGAUGUUGGGUUAAGUCCCGCAACGAGCGCAACCCUCGUCCUUAGUUGCUAGCAGUUCGGCUGAGCACUCUAAGGAGACUGCCUUCGUAAGGAGGAGGAAGGUGAGGACGACGUCAAGUCAUCAUGGCCCUUAUGGCUAGGGCUACACACGUGCUACAAUGGGGCGUACAGAGUGUUGCGAUACCGCGAGGUGGAGCUAAUCACUUAAAGCGUCUCUCAGUUCGGAUAGCAGUCUGCAACUCGACUGCUUGAAGCUGGAAUCACUAGUAAUCGUAGAUCAGCAAUGCUACGGUGAAUACGUUCCCGGGUCU